CACACGACUCUCGGCAACGGAUAUCUCGGCUCUCGCAUCGAUGAAGAACGUAGCGAAAUGCGAUACCUGGUGUGAAUUGCAGAAUCCCGCGAACCAUCGAGUCUUCGAACGCAAGUUGCGCCCGAGGCCACUCGGCCGAGGGCACGCCUGCCUGGGCGUCACGC
rnacentral:rRNA from 1 species